GAUGAAGAACGUAGCGAAAUGCGAUAAGUAAUGCGAAUUGCAGAAUUCAGUGAAUCAUCGAAUCUUUGAACGCACAUUGCGCCCGCUAGUAUUCUGGCGGGCAUGCCUGUCUGAGCGUCAUUUCAACCCUCGCCCCCGGCUUUUGCUGGGAGCGGUGUUGGGGAUCGGCCGCCCGUCACUGGGAGGCCGGCCCCGAAAUAGAGUGGCGACCACGCCGUGUGCUCCUCUGCGUAGUAGUAAAUCACCUCGCAGGCGGACAGCGGUGCGGCCUGCCGUAAAACCCCCAACUCUUUCUGGAUGACCUCAGAUCAGGUAGGAAUACCCGCUGAACUUAAGCAUAUCAAUAAGCGGAGGA
rnacentral:misc_RNA from 1 species